GAUGAACGCUGGCGGCGUGCCUAAUACAUGCAAGUCGAGCGAACAGAUAAGGAGCUUGCUCCUUUGACGUUAGCGGCGGACGGGUGAGUAACACGUGGGUAACCUACCUAUAAGACUGGAAUAACUCCGGGAAACCGGGGCUAAUGCCGGAUAACAUUUAGAACCGCAUGGUUCUAAAGUGAAAGAUGGUUUUGCUAUCACUUAUAGAUGGACCCGCGCCGUAUUAGCUAGUUGGUAAGGUAACGGCUUACCAAGGCAACGAUACGUAGCCGACCUGAGAGGGUGAUCGGCCACACUGGAACUGAGACACGGUCCAGACUCCUACGGGUGGCAGCAGUAGGGAAUCUUCCGCAAUGGGCGAAAGCCUGACGGAGCAACGCCGCGUGAGUGAUGAAGGUCUUCGGAUCGUAAAACUCUGUUAUUAGGGAAGAACAAAUGUGUAAGUAACUGUGCACGUCUUGACGGUACCUAAUCAGAAAGCCACGGCUAACUACGUG
rnacentral:rRNA from 1 species